UAUGAGUAUCCAUUCGAGAUCAGUCUGGAAUAGUCCACUUUAAUCUAAAUUUUGAUUCUCCAAAAUUCAACCUGCUAAAUCUGAAUGAAGUCUAGAUCACGAUCAAUACUUGAUCUUUCUCCUUGAUCUUCUUCUUCUCCUCUUCUCUAAAAUUUUUUCUUACUAUAUGCUGCUACCAGAUGCUAGAAACCAGCAAAAAAGAGGCACCCAACCUCCAUUGGGCAUGAAACUCCU
rnacentral:lncRNA from 1 species